GUUGCCCCUAGAGGUCUUGUAGGUGUACCUGCUGUGUCACAUGUGUGUCAGUAGGUGGCAGAGUGGAGAGAGGAUGUGCUUAUGUUGUGUUCUAACCUGUAGACAUCUGAAUGAUUAGCAGCCUAAUACU